UCUCUGUCUAAGGAAAAAAGAGCCUUUUGAUCUUUAACGGCAGUUUGCUUAUGCUGAAAAACCACUGCAAAGUCUGGUGUUGAAAAAGUCAAAUCGUCCAAGCUGAUUCGUGAUUCUAAUAGGAUAUUCUGCGAGUGGUUUAGCCAGCAGAAUAGUGUGGAAAAGGUGGCUGCGGCGGGCAUUAAAAGUAAUUUUUCUUUUGUAAGUGGAUUUUCGUAGUUUAUCCACGAGGAACCACAAACUUGAUUGCCAACUACGACCAGUCAACCUGAACUCAUAUGCAUAUAUAUAACAGAUACAUACAUACACACACACGAACAGGCUGAGGCACGGUCACACUAACACUGGAAAACAAAGAGAGUAAAAAGAAACAACGUAAGAUGAGAGAAAAGGACAGAGUUUGAAUAAAAAAAAAAAAAAGAGAGAGAUAUACAUGUUAAUCCUUGAAGGAAGCAUAUGCGGCCUGGCUACCUCCCUCCCUGGUUCUUCACAGGUUAUAUUCAGAUGCAAUUUAAAUACAUAAAAUGAAUAUUCAAAUUUGAAUAAAACCCAUCCUACUUCCAAUCCAGCCUGUUUACUAUCUCUAACUCAAGCAUAGGAAUUUUGAUCCAUCAAUUUAUUGAUUCAAGAUUUACAAAGGAGUUAAUUAUAUGCUUAGAAAAAAAAAAAAAAAAAGAAAAAAAGAAGCAUGCAGCUGAAAACAUUAUAAUUAGAACUUAGAAAGUUAUAUUAUAUAAGAUAUUAAAUAAUAAAGUGAUAAGUAGAAUAUCAUCUCACAUAAAUUACAUAUCAAGUAUUAAAACUGUAGAAAUUAAAAUUUAAUUUAUGAUGAGAAAUUUUUUUAAAUAAUUUAAUCAAUAAUUAAAUUUACAAAAAAUUAUCAAUAAAAACACAUCAGAGUAUUGAUUUCACCUAAAUUUUGGUAUAUUCGCAUUUUUAUUUUACAGACGAUUUAAUCUAGUUUGUAAUGGUCGAAUUAUCUUAAUAUAUUUUUGGUUUCCUUUCUAAUAUUUUCUAUAUCUAUCAAUUAAAAACUACUAACAUUUCAUAAAAAAUAAUUAAUUUGAUUCAAUUAAAUUUGUAAUAAUUCGAUUAAUCCACGUUAACUCGAUUAUAUUAAUCAUGUUUAAAUCGCAAUUAAUACUUAACAAUUAUGUGUAAUUGAUGAAAUUUUAUUCUCAUUACUCUAAAACCAUCAAUAACAAAUAAAGUUAUGAGUUGUUUAAUUCUCAUUACCUAAUUAAGUUCAAUACUAUUAAAUUAUAAUAAUAAAAAAACUAAAAAUUAAAUUACAAAUUUAUUUUUUGAUUCAGACCACGUAAAUUAUUAAAGUAAAGAAAAAUAGCAAGACAUAUUAGAUUGAGCAACGAUAAUUAUAUUUUUCAAGAAAUUUAAUCAUGUAAUAAUAAAAAAUAAAUUUAUAAAAAAUUUCAAAAACUAGCAUUCAAAUUUAUAAAAAAAUAAUUUACUUUUAUCCCAAAACAAUGCAAAUUGAAAAAAAAAAAUUAAAUUACUUGAAUAUUUUCCUCAGAUUCUCCCCCUGGCUCUCUGCAAUUACUUCUGCUUUAGUUUCCCCGUCCUCAAUCGGUUCGACUAGUUCUGCCUUCCACCAGAUCGUUUCAGGUCGCGCUCCGCUUCUGCGUCGCUUCCACUUACUCUACCAGUUCCCUCUUCUGCCAAGCUCUC
rnacentral:lncRNA from 1 species